AUUGAAUGCUGGCGGCAUGCUUUACACAUGCAAGUCGAACGGUAACAGGCCGCAAGGUGCUGACGAGUGGCGAACGGGUGAGUAAUGCAUCGGAACGUGCCCAGUCGUGGGGGAUAACUGCUCGAAAGAGCAGCUAAUACCGCAUACGAUCUAUGGAUGAAAGCGGGGGACCGUAAGGCCUCGCGCGAUUGGAGCGGCCGAUGUCAGAUUAGGUAGUUGGUGGGGUAAAGGCUCACCAAGCCAACGAUCUGUAGCUGGUCUGAGAGGACGACCAGCCACACUGGGACUGAGACACGGCCCAGACUCCUACGGGAGGCAGCAGUGGGGAAUUUUGGACAAUGGGGGCAACCCUGAUCCAGCAAUGCCGCGUGCAGGAAGAAGGCCUUCGGGUUGUAAACUGCUUUUGUACGGAACGAAACGGUCUGGGUUAAUACCCUGGGCUAAUGACGGUACCGUAAGAAUAAGCACCGGCUAACUACGUGCCAGCAGCCGCAGUAAAAC
rnacentral:rRNA from 1 species